rnacentral:rRNA from 1 species
GACUAACGCUGGCGGCGUGCCUAACACAUGCAAGUCGAACGAAGCAGCAAUGCUUAGUGGCAGACGGGUGAGUAACGCGUAGAUAAUGUGCCCUCUUGCGGGGGAUACCGUUUCGAAAGGAACGUUAAUACCGCAUAAAGUCCUUAGAAGGCAUCUUUUAGGGACCAAACUUCCGGGGCGGGAGGAGCAAUCUGCGUACUAUCAGCUAGUUGGUGAGGUAAUGGCUCACCAAGGCUACGACGGUUAACUGGUCUGAGAGGAUGAUCAGUCACACUGGAACUGAGACACGGUCCAGACUCCUACGGGAGGCAGCAGUGAGGAAUAUUGCACAAUGGGCGAAAGCCUGAUGCAGCGACGCCGCGUGGAGGAUAAAGGAUUUCGGUCUGUAAACUCCUGUCAGUAGGGAAGAGAAUGGACGGUACCUACUGAGGAAGCUUCGGCUAACUACGUG